rnacentral:rRNA from 1 species
GACGAACGCUGGCGGCGUGCUUAACACAUGCAAGUCGAACGGAAAGGCCCUGCUUUUGUGGGGUGCUCGUGUGGCGAACGGGUGAGUAACACGUGAGUAACCUGCCCUUGACUUUGGGAGAUCUUCAGGAAACUGGGGCUAUUACCGGAUAGGAGCUCCUGCUGCAUGGUGGGGGUUGGAAAGAUUCGGCGGUUGGGGAUGGACUCGCGGCUUAUCAGCUUGUUGGUGGGGUAGUGGCUUACCAAGGCUUUGACGGGUAGCCGGCCUGAGAGGGUGGACGGCGACAUGGGGACUGAGAUACGGCCCAGACUGCUACGGGAGGCAGCAGGGGGGAACAUGGCACAAUGGGCGGAAGCCUGAUGCAGCAACGCCGCGUGCGGGAUAACGGCCUUCGGGGUGUAAACCGCUGUCGCCGGUGACGAAGCGUGAGUGACGGUAAUGGGUAAAGAAGCACCGGCUAACUACGUG